UUUUUCUUCCUCUCUGCAGGAAUGGACAUACACAUACAACCACCAAGUCCGCCAGCAGCAGCUGUGUUUGUCUGUGUACACACUCUUCCCUGGUUCCCAGGUGCUGCUGUCACCUUGUAAAGAAGGUGACAACAAGCAGCGAUGGGGUAAAGUUGGGUCACACAUUGAACACAUAGCCUCACGCUUCUGUUUGGACACUGAGACGAUUGGGGACACGAAUGAAAGUAUUAAAGAGCUUGUCAUCAACCCUUGUGAGAGCACAGCCAUGAGUCAGCGCUGGGACAUGGUGAUGUCUUGACCUGCUGGAGGAGGUGCACGGCAGGGACGGGCACUGAGACGUUGCUACACGCAGCCAAGAUGCACCAGCUGGAGCUCAAAUGCAAAACCAUUGGGGUUCCUUGUGUGCUGUGGAAAGGAAGAAGAAUCGUUCAGAUAAAAAUGGGACACAGUGCUCCAAAUUGAACAACGCAUUUUGACUCUAAGGCACGCAGCUGGUAUUGGCCUGUUGGCAGUCAUACAUUCAAAGAGAAGAGAUGGCAAAAAACAAGCUUGAAAUGUUUUAGAGGGAUGCUGGGGCUCCUGCUAUGGCCUGUAUAGAACUUCAGUGUGCACAGUAUUGGUUAUCCACCUGAAAACGCAGGUAGAAGAGCCUUGAAGACCAAAAGGAAACUUGAACUGAGCAAAGCAAGCAUCUCAAUAGCUUUUGAGGGUUGAGGUGGGUGCACAAGGUGGGAUGUGCCAAGGGAUGCUAAGAAACAUCUCCAGGGAUCAAGUGGAAAACACUGAAUUAUCUUUGCACCUUUUACUGCUGUGGAUGUUCUUGUCUCUGCAGACAGCAUUGGGUGGAGCCGUGUUGCACGUUUGAAUUUGUACCUAAUCCACGUACAUGUUAUGUAUACAGAGGCAGAGCAGUCAUUUAUGUCUGUGGCCAGGAUCAAAACAGCAGGUAGUGGGGGAAUCCUGCUUUGUGCUAACUGCACAUGGGGCUUGUUGAAUCUCCAAAGCCCAAGCAAACAGAGGAUUCAGUGUGUGAGAUUAAAGGAUAUAAACCGCUGUGAAGCUGGGAGGAAACGCAGUAACAUGAUUAUUUCUUCUCUCUGGAGGCCAUGGGUCACUGAAAACUCCCCUAUAAUCUCUCUAUGUGUCUCUCACUGCUUCAGAUCUGGACUAAAUCAAAUUUUCACUUUUAUUCCAUAAAAGUAAUAUUUUUGGUAAUUGAA